GAUGAACGCUGGCGGCGUGCCUAAUACAUGCAAGUCGAGCGAACAGAUGAGGAGCUUGCUCCUCUGACGUUAGCGGCGGACGGGUGAGUAACACGUGGAUAACCUACCUAUAAGACUGGGAUAACUUCGGGAAACCGGAGCUAAUACCGGAUAAUAUAUUGAACCUCAUGGUUCAAUAGUGAAAGACGGUUUUGCUGUCACUUAUAGAUGGAUCCGCGCCGCAUUAGCUAGUUGGUAAGGUAACGGCUUACCAAGGCAACGAUGCGUAACCGACCUGAGGGCGUGAUCGGCCACACUGGCACUGAGACACGGUCCCGACACCUACGGGGGGCAGCAGUAGGGAAUCUUCCGCAAUGGGCGAGAGCCUGACGGAGCAACGCCGCGUGAGUGAUGAAGGUCUUCAGAUCGUAAAACUCUGUUAUUAGGGAAGAACAAAUGUGUAAGUAACUAUGCACGUCUUGACGGUACCUAAUCAGAAAGCCACGGCUAACUACGUG
rnacentral:rRNA from 1 species